GAUGAACGCUAGCUACAGGCUUAACACAUGCAAGUCGAGGGGUAACGAGAGGAAAGCUUGCUUUCCUUGUCGACGACCGGCGCACGGGUGAGUAACGCGUAUCCAACCUGCCCCCAACUAGGGAAUAACCUUGCGAAAGUAAGACUAAUACCCUAUAAUUUCCUCAGAUGUCAUCUGACGAGGAAUAAAGAUUUAUCGGUUGUGGAUGGGGAUGCGUCUGAUUAGCUUGUUGGCGGGGUAACGGCCCACCAAGGCAACUGUCAGUAGGGGUUCUGAGAGGAAGGUCCCCCACAUUGGAACUGAGACACGGUCCAAACUCCUACGGGAGGCAGCAGUGAAGGAUAUUGGUCAAUGGGCGGAAGCCUGAACCAGCCAAGUAGCGUGCAGGAUGACGGCCCUAUGGGUUGUAAACUGCUUUUAUACAGGAAUAAAGUUAGCCACGUGUGGUUAUUUGUAGGUACUGUAUGAAUAAGGACCGGCUAAUUCCGUGCCAGCCGCCGCCGUAA
rnacentral:rRNA from 1 species